UACGAAGGGGGCUAGCGUUGCUCGGAAUCACUGGGCGUAAAGGGUGCGUAGGCGGUUCUUUAAGUCAGGGGUGAAAUCCUGGAGCUCAACUCCAGAACUGCCUUUGAUACUGAAGAUCUUGAGUCCGGAAGAGGUGAGUGGAACUGCGAGUGUAGAGGUGAAAUUCGUAGAUAUUCGCAAGAACACCAGUGGCGAAGGCGGCUCACUGGUCCGGUACUGACGCUGAGGCACGAAAGCGUGGGGAGCAAACAGG
rnacentral:rRNA from 1 species